rnacentral:rRNA from 1 species
GAUGAACGCUGGCGGCGUGCCUAAUACAUGCAAGUCGAGCGAACGGACGAGAAGCUUGCUUCUCUGAUGUUAGCGGCGGACGGGUGAGUAACACGUGGAUAACCUACCUAUAAGACUGGGAUAACUUCGGAAAACCGGAGCUAAUACCGGAUAAUAUUUUGAACCGCAUGGUUCAAAAGUGAAAGACGGUCUUGCUGUCACUUAUAGAUGGAUCCGCGCUGCAUUAGCUAGUUGGUAAGGUAACGGCUUACCAAGGCAACGAUGCAUAGCCGACCUGAGAGGGUGAUCGGCCACACUGGAACUGAGACACGGUCCAGACUCCUACGGGAGGCAGCAGUAGGGAAUCUUCCGCAAUGGGCGAAAGCCUGACGGAGCAACGCCGCGUGAGUGAUGAAGGUCUUCGGAUCGUAAAACUCUGUUAUCAGGGAAGAACAUAUGUGUAAGUAACUGUGCACAUCUUGACGGUACCUAAUCAGAAAGCCACGGCUAACUACGUGCCAGCAGCCGCGGUAAUACGUAGGUGGCAAGCGUUAUCCGGAAUUAUUGGGCGUAAAGCGCGCGUAGGCGGUUUUUUAAGUCUGAUGUGAAAGCCCACGGCUCAACCGUGGAGGGUCAUUGGAAACUGGAAAACUUGAGUGCAGAAGAGGAAAGUGGAAUUCCAUGUGUAGCGGUGAAAUGCGCAGAGAUGUGGAGGAACACCAGUGGCGAAGGCGACUUUCUGGUCUGUAACUGACGCUGAUGUGCGAAAGCGUGGGGAUCAAACAGGAUUAGAUACCCUGGUAGUCCACGCCGUAAACGAUGAGUGCUAAGUGUUAGGGGGUUUCCGCCCCUUAGUGCUGCAGCUAACGCAUUAAGCACUCCGCCUGGGGAGUACGACCGCAAGGUUGAAACUCAAAGGAAUUGACGGGGACCCGCACAAGCGGUGGAGCAUGUGGUUUAAUUCGAAGCAACGCGAAGAACCUUACCAAAUCUUGACAUCCUUUGACAACUCUAGAGAUAGAGCUUUCCCCUUCGGGGGACAAAGUGACAGGUGGUGCAUGGUUGUCGUCAGCUCGUGUCGUGAGAUGUUGGGUUAAGUCCCGCAACGAGCGCAACCCUUAAGCUUAGUUGCCAUCAUUAAGUUGGGCACUCCAAGUUGACUGCCGGUGACAAACCGGAGGAAGGUGGGGAUGACGUCAAAUCAUCAUGCCCCUUAUGAUUUGGGCUACACACGUGCUACAAUGGACAAUACAAAGGGCAGCGAAACCGCGAGGUCAAGCAAAUCCCAUAAAGUUGUUCUCAGUUCGGAUUGUAGUCUGCAACUCGACUACAUGAAGCUGGAAUCGCUAGUAAUCGUAGAUCAGCAUGCUACGGUGAAUACGUUCCCGGGUCU